AGAGUUUGAUCCUGGCUCAGAUUGAACGCUGGCGGCAUGCCUUACACAUGCAAGUCGAACGGCAGCAUGAUCUAGCUUGCUAGAUUGAUGGCGAGUGGCGAACGGGUGAGUAAUACAUCGGAACGUGCCCUGUAGUGGGGGAUAACUAGUCGAAAGAUUAGCUAAUACCGCAUACGACCUGAGGGUGAAAGUGGGGGACCGCAAGGCCUCAUGCUAUAGGUGCGGCCGAUGUCUGAUUAGCUAGUUGGUGGGGUAAAGGCCCACCAAGGCGACGAUCAGUAGCUGGUCUGAGAGGACGAUCAGCCACACUGGGACUGAGACACGGCCCAGACUCCUACGGGAGGCAGCAGUGGGGAAUUUUGGACAAUGGGGGCAACCCUGAUCCAGCAAUGCCGCGUGUGUGAAGAAGGCCUUCGGGUUGUAAAGCACUUUUGUCCGGAAAGAAAUCGCACUUACUAAUAUUAGGUGUGGAUGACGGUACCGGAAGAAUAAGGACCGGCUAACUACGUGCCAGCAGCCGCGGUAAUACGUAGGGUCCAAGCGUUAAUCGGAAUUACUGGGCGUAAAGCGUGCGCAGGCGGUUGUGCAAGACCGAUGUGAAAUCCCCGGGCUUAACCUGGGAAUUGCAUUGGUGACUGCACGGCUAGAGUGUGUCAGAGGGGGGUAGAAUUCCACGUGUAGCAGUGAAAUGCGUAGAGAUGUGGAGGAAUACCGAUGGCGAAGGCAGCCCCCUGGGAUAACACUGACGCUCAUGCACGAAAGCGUGGGGAGCAAACAGGAUUAGAUACCCUGGUAGUCCACGCCCUAAACGAUGUCAACUAGUUGUUGGGGAUUCAUUUCCUUAGUAACGUAGCUAACGCGUGAAGUUGACCGCCUGGGGAGUACGGUCGCAAGAUUAAAACUCAAAGGAAUUGACGGGGACCCGCACAAGCGGUGGAUGAUGUGGAUUA
rnacentral:rRNA from 1 species